CCAGCAUUUCAGAACUAUAAAUUAGACAUAACGGUGGAUCAAACACCAAUGGUCACCUUGGAGCCGGCCAAAGCCAUUCUCCACCUUUACUCAACCAUGGAAAUGAGGGCAGACUUACAAGACAUUUUAGAGCAGUCUUUGUUUGUGGUGAAUCUGGUAAGUAUGGUAGCAGUGCACUUUUCUGUUCCUAAAUGUAAACAGCUUUUAGAAACUGGUGAUGAUGUUGUUUAAAACAAAUAUCCACAAUUAUAUUUAUUUGUAGCACAUGAAUUUCAGAUUACAGUUUUCCAUAGAUAAAACAAGUCUCCACUGCAAGCUUUCACUAGACAGGUAAGUGAAUGGGCCCUAUUCCAGGACUUUUUAGUACAUUAUAGGUACAAAAUAAUCUAUACAUGGUAAUGUAAUGAAAGGUGCAAGGUUGUUCCAGGUGUACCCAAACGUAGCAACCAAUCAGAUGCUUUUUGACAAACAGGUGACCAAGGAAUUAUACCUGCUGAAUGGUUGCUGGGGGUUACUAGAUUUUUUUCUAUUAUUACUUUAUCCUCUUACUUUCAGUAGAGAAGGGGUACAAAUAUUUAAUUGUAAUUUGAAUGGACCACCUUCAAUGCAAUUUCAAUCUUCAUUAAGAAUGAAAAAUAAAGACUAGAAUAGGGUACCUAUAUAAAAGGCAUAGAGACAUGUUGUGUACUAUUUCAUUACUAUACAUACUAUACAUACUAUUUCAUAUUCAUUAUUUAUAUGUUCAGAAUAUUUGUUUCCCAUGAAAGGGCAGAAUUAGACAAGUGCAGCUCAUUUUCUUUCAUUAAUGCAAGGCUUGCCAUUAUAAUUUCUUAUACAGCUUAAAAUUAAGACCCAAGUUUGCUCCCCAGUUACAUUCCAGGUUCCAUUCGUUUGGCCCCCCUUCCUUCUCUUCUCCUGCCGUGGUGCAGCACCCAUGUACCAGUACUGUCUAUCACAUGGCGAUAAACACCUGACCAGUACAAAUGGGGAGAUGAGGGAUCUAGAAUGUGUUUGGUGAAGCUGAAUGAAGGCCCAUUUAUUGUGUGUUAAGAUCAGGGCGCAAGUCCAAAAAAUCAGCUGUUAAUCAGAGCACUUUUUGCUCCCCUUAGUUAUGGAUAGACUUAACUGCAUAUGUCUACUCCAUGUAUUCAUGAUGGUUACAAUGAUGAGCAUCACCUUAGUUAUAUGAUCGUACUAUGAAAUAGAUCUCACAAAAUGUGCUAUUUUAUCUUUGCUAUAUCAUCCAAAACCUCUUAAUCACAGUGUCUAAAACCAUUUUCUCUAUUGCAAACUCAUCAUUUUUUAUUAUUUGUGCCGAGAAUCUUCCUUUCUCUGAAUUCAUCAUCAGUCGGCCAGUUUGAAGCUCAAGACCUUGAUGAAUUUAUCCUUUCAGUGAUUCAUGAACUGUACACACACUCAGUGAAUGGUGUUCUCCAAGCAGGUGUCCCUCUCCCUGAUAUGGUAAAGUUAUUGGAUAUAGAUUUUACCAAAGGUCGCAUUAAAGCAAUCAAGG